UUGGAAGAAUUUGAUCCUGGCUCAGAUUGAACGCUGGCGGCAGGCCUAACACAUGCAAGUCGAGCGGAUGACGGGAGCUUGCUCCUUGAUUCAGCGGCGGACGGGUGAGUAAUGCCUAGGAAUCUGCCUGGUAGUGGGGGACAACGUUUCGAAAGGAACGCUAAUACCGCAUACGUCCUACGGGAGAAAGUGGGGGAUCUUCGGACCUCACGCUAUCAGAUGAGCCUAGGUCGGAUUAGCUAGUUGGUGAGGUAAUGGCUCACCAAGGCGACGAUCCGUAACUGGUCUGAGAGGAUGAUCAGUCACACUGGAACUGAGACACGGUCCAGACUCCUACGGGAGGCAGCAGUGGGGAAUAUUGGACAAUGGGCGAAAGCCUGAUCCAGCCAUGCCGCGUGUGUGAAGAAGGUCUUCGGAUUGUAAAGCACUUUAAGUUGGGAGGAAGCACAGUAAGUUAAUACCUUGCUGUUUUGACGUCGCCAGAGCAGUAGAUAACUAUCGAGCAUACACGA
rnacentral:rRNA from 2 species